AUACAGUAAGUACAGUAGUAUAGUGAACUGUACAGUACUGUAUGUGCUAAAAAGCACACCAAAAAUCAAAAAAUCACUUAAAAUGUUUGCAGAGUACUCACAGUACUUCUUUCUGUGUCUCUUCUUCUCUCCACGGUCUUCCUACAGGAAGUCACGACCAUGUGACA